rnacentral:rRNA from 1 species
UACAGGGGGUGCAAACGUUGCUCGGAAUCAUUGGGCGUAAAGCGCACGUAGGCGGUUUGUUAUGUCGGAUGUGAAAGCCCUUGGCUCAACUGAGGAAGUGCAUCCGAAACUGGCAAGCUAGAGUACUAAAGAGGGUCGCGGAAUUCCCGGUGUAGAGGUGAAAUUCGUAGAUAUCGGGAGGAACACCGGUGGCGAAGGCGGCGACCUGGGUAGAUACUGACGCUGAGGUGCGGAAGCGUGGGGAGCAAACAGGG